rnacentral:rRNA from 1 species
AAUCAACGCUGGCGGCGUGCCUCAGACAUGCAAGUCGAACGAUUAAAGCUCUCUUCGGAGAGUGUAUAGAGUGGCGCACGGGUGAGUAACACGUAAGUAAUCUACCUUUGAGUGGGGAAUAACCCGGGGAAACCCGAGCUAAUACCGCAUAAUGCAGCGGCACCGCAAGGUGACAGUUGUUAAAGGAGCAAUCCGCUUAAAGAGGAGCUUGCGGCAGAUUAGCUAGNGGUAAGGUAAUGGCUUACCAAGGCUUCGAUCUGUAUCCGGCCUGAGAGGGCGGUCGGACACACUGACACUGAAUAACGGGUCAGACUCCUACGGGAGGCAGCAGUCGGGAAUUUGGGCAAUGGGCGAAAGCCUGACCCAGCAACGCCGCGUGAAGGAUGAAGUAUUUCGGUAUGUAAACUUCGAAAGAAUGGGAAGAAUCAAUGACGGUACCAUUUAUAAGGUCCGG